rnacentral:rRNA from 1 species
UACGGGGGGGGCAAGCGUUGUUCGGAAUUACUGGGCGUAAAGGGUGCGUAGGCGGCUUUCUAAGUUGGAUGUGAAAACUAUGGGCUCAACCCAUAGCCUGCAUCCAAAACUGGAGAGCUUGGGUUCUGGAGGGGAAAGCGGAAUUCCUGGUGUAGCGGUGAAAUGCGUAGAUAUCCGGAGGAACACCGGUGGCGAAGGCGGCUUCCUGGACCGACACUGACGCUGAGGCGCGAAAGCUAGGGGAGCAAACGGG